rnacentral:snoRNA from 1 species
CGGCGGUGAUGACCAUCUUAGGACACCUUUGGAAUAACCAUGAAAAAAAAAGAUGUUUGUUCUGAGCUGU